rnacentral:lncRNA from 1 species
GUGACCACAUUUUAAUUGGUCGUGCAAAUGCUUCUUUACACUUAACUUAUACUUUGACUGCUUUUUUGAACUAUUUCAGUAUUUUUCAGUCAAAGCUCAGAGGCAUAGUGCUUCAUUGCAAAAGUGUGAAAGCUGUGCACUGUGUGAGGGCCUGGGGGUCUUGGUCUCCUUCAGACUUUUUUUCUUUUUUUUUUUUUUUUUAUGUUACUUUCCAUGGUGAAGGCUGGCAGCAUUCUGUACACUAUGUAAGGGUGAGUGCACUACACCUUAAAUCAAUGUAUUGCUGUGGUCUGAUAUGCCUCUUCCUAUUUCAGCCUUGCUGGCUCUGGCCAUCUCAUCCACACAGCAACGAGAUCUGUGGGCAUUGUGCACACAGAAGCAGAGCUCAAAUGUGGAAGGAAAAAGGGAAGACGUGGUUUGUUUGUUUGCUUGUUUUAACGAUGUUGCUUCUCUGUGCUUCCAGGUAGAGGCCAGGAGAAUCAGGAAACUUUACAAGGGCUGUCCCCGAUCUGCAGAGCAGCUGUUUCUGCUCUGCCUGCUCCAUGCAGGGGAGGGAGGGUGAGAAGAAAGCUGGAGCUGAAGCCUGAAGUUCUGAGAGGGGCCAAGGAGUGUUUGAGCUGGGAAUGGGCAGGAGGGUGUGAAGAAGGUUUGUGGGGAUGCCUUGUGGAGCUUUUAGGUGUCAGCUGGAGCUGGCUUUUUAUCAUCUUUGGCAGUUUGUUCCUAUGAGCAGCAAAAGAUGAAAAUGGGGGUUAGUACACCCGCACACAUCCUCCUCCUCAGCUAAGCAGGCUUGAAUGUCUGAGGGGUUCUGCAAGCUCUUACUAAGUGUAUACCAAGCACUACCUUGUAUCUAAUCAGUAUUUUUUGGAAGCCUUUGGAGGUGCUUGUAAUCCUACGGAUGCCAUACAACUCCGGUUCUCUCCAUGAAAAUCGUUUACAGUGGGAUUUCAAAAGUGCUCCGUCUAUACCUGCUUCCUUAGAAAUCAACUGUUAACGUCCGUGCGACUUCACUGGGAGGAGUAACACCAACACCGAGUGCCUGGAAAACGCCUCCCUAACCUGUAAAUGAGAAUAUACAUCUGAGAAUGUUGCAACCUAAUUUUUAUACCGAGCAUAUGAUUGUAGUAACUGAGUGCCCUAGAUUUAGUGCUCUAUCUACUUGAUGAUGUCACUUCAUCACCUCGUCUGAAUUUGACACUGUAAUUCAUAUUUGCAUAGCAUUUAUUUUCUUUGGUCUCUCUGGUCCUUGUAUUUCUACAGUUUUGGUCAUAUCAGUCCAGUCCCAGACCCGUGCUCACACAGACAUUGAAGUAGCUCUUUAUCCUAGCUAUUUCAGUAUGAAAAGGCAUGGGGCAUUUUCAUUUAUCUCUCUGUUUUUCUGCUGCUUGAACAUGGUUAGGGACAAACCAGUUAUGGACUAAAACUGAGGCAUUGUUUGUAUUUGUUUAUAUUUUUUUUUCUUCAGAACAUCUGAAUAAAUACUUAAGUGUCACUUUAAAAUGUUGGUCU